rnacentral:rRNA from 1 species
UACGAAGGGGGCUAGCGUUGCUCGGAAUUACUGGGCGUAAAGGGCGCGUAGGCGGACAGUUAAGUCAGAGGUGAAAGCCCAGGGCUCAACCCUGGAAUUGCCUUUGAUACUGGCUGUCUUGAGUGCGGGAGAGGUGUGUGGAACUCCGAGUGUAGAGGUGAAAUUCGUAGAUAUUCGGAAGAACACCAGUGGCGAAGGCGACACACUGGCCCGUAACUGACGCUGAGGCGCGAAGGUCAGGGGAGCAAACGGG